ACAACAACAUUUGGGACCGUCGGUCUACCGAGCAAUAUCAUCCGCUCGGUGGAAGAUCUUCCCUUUGUCGUUAAAC
rnacentral:pre_miRNA from 1 species